rnacentral:rRNA from 1 species
AUUGAACGCUGGCGGAAUGCUUUACACAUGCAAGUCGAACGGCAGCACGGGGGCAACCCUGGUGGCGAGUGGCGAACGGGUGAGUAAUACAUCGGAACGUGCCCAUGUCGUGGGGGAUAACGUAGCGAAAGCUACGCUAAUACCGCAUACGAUCUACGGAUGAAAGCGGGGGAUCGCAAGACCUCGCGCGAUUGGAGCGGCCGAUGGCAGAUUAGGUAGUUGGUGGGGUAAAGGCUCACCAAGCCGACGAUCUGUAGCUGGUCUGAGAGGACGACCGGCCACACUGGGACUGAGACACGGCCCGGACUCCUACGGGAGGCAGCAGUGGGGAAUUUUGGACAAUGGGCGCAAGCCUGAUCCAGCCAUUCCGCGUGCAGGAUGAAGGCCCUCGGGUUGUAAACUGCUUUUGUACGGAACGAAAAGCCUUCUUCUAAUACAGGAGGGUCAUGACGGUACCGUAAGAAUAAGCACCGGCUAACUACGUGCCAGCAGCCGCCGUAAUAC